rnacentral:rRNA from 1 species
AUUGAACGCUGGCGGCAUGCCUUACACAUGCAAGUCGAACGGUAACAGGUUAAGCUGACGAGUGGCGAACGGGUGAGUAAUGUAUCGGAACGUGCCCAGUCGUGGGGGAUAACUGCUCGAAAGAGCAGCUAAUACCGCAUACGACCUGAGGGUGAAAGCGGGGGAUCGCAAGACCUCGCGCGAUUGGAGCGGCCGAUAUCAGAUUAGGUAGUUGGUGAGGUAAAGGCUCACCAAGCCGACGAUCUGUAGCUGGUCUGAGAGGACGACCAGCCACACUGGGACUGAGACACGGCCCAGACUCCUACGGGAGGCAGCAGUGGGGAAUUUUGGACAAUGGGCGCAAGCCUGAUCCAGCCAUGCCGCGUGCGGGAAGAAGGCCUUCGGGUUGUAAACCGCUUUUGUCAGGGAAGAAAAGGUUCUGGCUAAUACCUGGGACUCAUGACGGUACCUGAAGAAUAAGCACCGGCUAACUACGUGCCAGCAGCCGCAGUAAAAC